AUUGAACGCUAGCGGCAGGCUUUACACAUGCAAGUCGAACGAGUGGCGGACGGGUGAGUAAUGUCUCGGAACGUGCCCGGUGGCGGGGGAUAACUGCUCGAAACAGUAGCUAAUACCGCAUACAAUUGGAUCGGCCGAGAUGGGAUUAGCUAGUAGGUGGGGUAAUGGCUCACCUAGGCAACGAUCCGUAGCUGGUUUGAGAGGAUGACCAGCCACACUGGAACUGAGACACGGCCCAGACGCCUACGGGAGGCAGCAGUGGGGAAUAUUGGACAAUGGGCGAAAGCCUGAUGCAGCCAUGCCGCGUGUAUGAAGAAGGCCUUCGGGUUGUAAAGUACUUUUGGCAGAGAGGCGGUAGCCGCAGAAGAAGCACCGGCUAACUACGUGCCAGCAGCCGCGGUAAUUC
rnacentral:rRNA from 1 species